rnacentral:rRNA from 1 species
AUUGAACGCUGGCGGCAGGCCUAACACAUGCAAGUCGAACGAGGGGCGGACGGGUGAGAAGUGUCUGGGAAACCGCGUGAUGGAGGGGGAUAACUACUGGAAACGGUCGAUAAUAGCGCAUCCCUUCCGGUGGGCCCAGAUGGGUUUAGCGAGUAGGGGGGGUAAAGGCUCACCUAGGCGACGAUCCCUAGCUGGUCUGAGAGGGCGACCAGCCACACUGGAACUGAGACACGGUCCAGACUCCUACGUGAGGCAGCAGUGGGGAAUAUUGCACAAUGGGCGCAAGCCUGAUGCAGCCAUGCCGCGUGUAUGAAGAAGGCCUUCGGGUUGUAAAGUACUUUCAGCGGGGAGGCGUUACCCGCAGAAGAAGCACCGGCUAACUCCGUGCCAGCAGCCGCGGUAAUUC